GUAUUGAAACACAGAGUUUGUUGUAAACCUGAAGCAAGCCUUGGUUCCAUGGCUGUCACUGAAGAAGCCACUGGCUCUGCUACAAAAUUUGAGGAAGCCUUCACCACAAAUGCAGAGGAGUUUAACUGUAGCACUUUAACACAGAAUUGAUUAUCUGAGCAAGCAUCAACACAAAUUUCAAGAUGACUAUUCUGAAAGAGUACUACACUUGAAAAAUGAGUCACUGUUCCAGAAUCAAAGCUCCCUCCUCUCAAGAAUAUCCACCCAAAUGAACCUGCAGUACUUGAGUUUCUCACUGAUCAGCUUCACUCCAAGAUCCCUGUGAUACAUGGCAUUCAUUCCCUGUUGUUAGAAGGUCCUUUGAUUGCCUAAAGACAAAUCUGCAAAACAUGGUAAGGCUAGGUUUAUUUUUUUUCAUUCCUUCAUUCGUCAUUCCUUUUUACCCUUGGUCCUUUUUGUCUCUAGUUUUUGAAUUGUGCUCUAGGAUGACCCUGCUUGAGCAGGGAGGUAGGGUUAGAUUUUUUGUUCUAGGCCAGCUGGAAAGGGUGCAGUUCCUUCUUGUUUGUACAAAAAAGAAUUCAUGUUUUCUAAUGCAGCAUUAUGCUCAAAGUCACAACUGUACAUGCUAUAGUACUUUUUUCCCAUGGAUUUCCUUCCACUCAAUAUUGGAUGCAUCUUUAAAAAAACGUUUUCUGUAAAAUGAAAAUAGAGAGUUUUAACUCAUUCCACAUCGUCUCCAGUGCAGAC